GUCCUUUUGAUUUUUAUUUAAGGUCUGACCUGCCCACUGAUUUAUUUAAUGGCCGCGGUAUUUUGACCGUGCAAAGGUAGCAUAAUAAUUUGUCUUUUAAUUGAAGGCUUGAAUGAAUGGUUGGACGAGAAAACUGCUUUCUUUAUAAUAAAAUUAAUAACUUUAUUUUUUAGUUAAAAAGCUAAAAUGUUGUUGUAGGACGAGAAGACCCUAUAGAACUUUAUAUUUAUUUUUAUACUAAUAUUUUUGGUUAAUAAUAUAUUGUAUUUUAAUAAAUAUUUUGUUGGGGCGACAAGAAAAUUUAUUUAACUUUUUUUAUUUUAAUCUCAUUAAUUAAUGUGUCAAUGAUCCUUUAUUACAGAUAAUAAGAAUAAGUUACCUUAGGGAUAACAGCGUAAUUUUUUUGGAGAGUUCUUAUCGAUAAAGAAGUUUGCGA
rnacentral:rRNA from 1 species